GGGCGAUGAGGACAAACAGCGCACCAUGUGAUGCAGGGCUCAUCACGACUGUCAGAUUAUCAUCUGACAAUAACAGCGUAUCUGAGCUC